AGAGUUUGAUCCUGGCUCAGGACGAACGCUGGCGGCGCGCCUAACACAUGCAAGUCGAACGAGAGAGAGGAAGCUUGCUUCCUCAAUCGAGUGGCGAACGGGUGAGUAACGCGUGAGGAACCUGCCUCAAAGAGGGAGACAACAGUUGGAAACGACUGCUAAUACCGCAUAAGCCCACGACCUGGCAUCGGGUUGAGGGAAAAGGAGCAAUCCGCUUUGAGAUGGCCUCGCGUCCGAUUAGCUAGUUGGUGAGGUAAUGGCCCACCAAGGCAACGAUCGGUAGCCGGACUGAGAGGUUGAACGGCCACAUUGGGACUGAGACACGGCCCAGACUCCUACGGGAGGCAGCAGUGGGGAAUAUUGCACAAUGGGGGAAACCCUGAUGCAGCGACGCCGCGUGGAGGAAGAAGGUCUUCGGAUUGUAAACUCCUGUUGUUGAGGAAGAUAAUGACGGUACUCAACAAGGAAGUGACGGCUAACUACGUGCCAGCAGCCGCGGU
rnacentral:rRNA from 1 species